rnacentral:rRNA from 1 species
ACCUGCCCUAUGAAUAAUUUACUUUUAAAUGGCUGCGGUACUUUGACCGUGCAAAGGUAGCAUAAUAAUUAGUUUCUUAAUUGGGAACUGGAAUGAAUGGUCGAACGAGAAAAAGACUGUCUCAAUUUAAUUUAAAUUAGAAUUUUAUUUUUAAGUAAAAAAGCUUAAAUAUACUUAAAAGACGAGAAGACCCUAUAGAGUUUUAUAUAAAUUAUUAUAAUUGAAAGUUAAAGUAUUUUAGAUUUGGCUAUAAUAAUUUAUAUUUGGUUGGGGCGAUUAAAAAAUUGAAUUAACUUUUUUUAGAUUAAACCAUUGAUUUAUGAGUAGGUGAUCCAUAUUUAUUAUGAUUAGAAGAUU